GACGAACGCUGGCGGCGUGCUUAACACAUGCAAGUCGAACGGAAAGGCUCCAGCUUGCUGGCGUACUCGAGUGGCGAACGGGUGAGUAACACGUGGGUAAUCUGCCCUGCACUCUGGGAUAAGCCUGGGAAACUGGGUCUAAUACUGGAUAUGACCUUUCUCCUUAUGGGGUUUGGUGGAAAGUUUUUCGGUGUAGGAUGAGCCCGCGGCCUAUCAGCUUGUUGGUGGGGUGAUGGCCUACCAAGGCGACGACGGGUAGCCGGCCUGAGAGGGUGAUCGGGCAAAAGGGGGAGAGAGAAACGCCCGGGACCCAGGGGGGGGGAGGGAGGGGGGAAUUUGGCAAAAGGGCGGAAAGCUGGAGGCGGCGCGCCCGGGGGAGGGAGGAGGGCUUUGGGUUUGUAACCCUCUUUCAGCGGGGAGGAAGCGAAAGGGAGGGUCCCUGCAGAAGAAGCCCGGGCAAAUUAUGUG
rnacentral:rRNA from 1 species